GUCCUGGCAGUAAACGGUGCACACUUGGUGUGGGAGGAUUCGACCCCUCCUGUGCCGGAGCUAACGCGUUAAGUGUGCCGCCUGGGAAGUACGGUCGCAAGAUUAAAACUCAAAGAAAUUGACGGGGACCCGCACAAGCGGUGGAGUAUGUGGCUUAAUUCGAUGCAACGCGAAGAACCUUACCUGGUCUUGACAUGCAUCUUGUUGCUGGUGAAAGCCAGCUAGGGUAGCAAUACCCGAUUUGCACAGGUGCUGCAUGGCUGUCGU
rnacentral:rRNA from 1 species